GAAAUACCACCCUUUAAUGUUUGAUGUUCUAACGUGGACCCGUGAUCCGGGUUGCGGACAGUGUCUGGUGGGUAGUUUGACUGGGGCGGUCUCCUCCUAAAGAGUAACGGAGGAGCACGAAGGUUGGCUAAUCCUGGUCGGACAUCAGGAGGUUAGUGCAAUGGCAUAAGCCAGCUUGACUGCGAGCGUGACGGCGCGAGCAGGUGCGAAAGCAGGUCAUAGUGAUCCGGUGGUUCUGAAUGGAAGGGCCAUCGCUCAACGGAUAAAAGGUACUCCGGGGAUAACAGGCUGAUACCGCCCAAGAGUUCAUAUCGACGGCGGUGUUUGGCACCUCGAUGUCGGCUCAUCACAUCCUGGGGCUGAAGUAGGUCCCAAGGGUAUGGCUGUUCGCCAUUUAAAGUGGUACGCGAGCUGGGUUUAGAACGUCGUGAGACAGUUCGGUCCCUAUCUGCCGUGGGCGCUGGAGAACUGAGGGGGGCUGCUCCUAGUACGAGAGGACCGGAGUGGACGCAUCACUGGUGUU
rnacentral:rRNA from 1 species